GUUUAAAUGAUGAUUUUUGUCUUUAGUCGGAUACCCCUUCACUCAAUUAUGAGUGAGAUACCUAGUCUGAAAAAAAC